ACCUAUGCUCUAGUUCAUAAUGGGCAGAUAGAGAAGUUAAAAUCCACGAGAGGGGGAGAUUAAGUAAUCUAUGGAAACAUAUCAUUGAAACAUAUGAAAGGAGAGUGAGCUACUUAAUGGUAGAUGGCAUGCUUUAAAGGAUAAGGGACAUCAAUAAUUUUGUUACUUUUACACUUCCUCUAUAUUUUUUAUGUUUUAAAUCUUUGGUUUAUUGAUACAUAGAUCGUAUAUGUAUUAAAAAAUGUUGAACGGAGUAAUUUGUUUGAAUGCUGCUUAUUUGCUCUGUGUAUCUUGAUAUUUUGCUGCCAUUAUAUUCUUUCCAAUCUUGCUUUCAUAACACUUCUUUUUGGCCUGAGGGUCUAUCGGAAAUAGCCUAUCUACCCCACAAGGGUAGAAGCAAGGUACGCGUACAUCCUAUACUCACCAAACCCCACUUGUUGGGAUUACAUCGGGAAUGUUGUUGUUAUUGGAGUAAGAUGUUUGAAUAGUUAAGUAAAUUGUGUCACAGUGAUAAUACAUCCCUUUGAUGCCGUGCCGCAAUGAUAGUGCAUCCCUUUGAUGCCAUGUCUCAGUGGUAGUACGUCCCUUUGAUGCCUGCUACACCUUGAUAAGAAGAGAGGGGGGGGGGGGGAAUAAGUGUAAGAAAUCUGAAAUUAAAUGAUAAAGGUCUACUUUCAAAUGCCUUUGGAGGUAUAACAUGGGAGGAAUGAAGUCGGGGAGGAGUUAAUGAAUGCUAUCCAUGGUAAAGAGGAAGCAUGGAGAAAUAUUGAAGGGGGGGGGGGGGGGGCGCUAUAAAAGAGCAUUAGUAAUCAGUGGAAAGAGUUCAACCAGUUUAACAAAUUUAAGGUGGGUAAUGGAGCCAAAUUUUUUUCCUAACUUGCUCAGUUGCUUUCUGGUUUCAUGCAAAUACUGAUUGACAGAUUGAUUUCAGGAGAAAUUUAAAUGAUUGUAAGAUAGAGCAUUUAUGUCAGUUACUGCAGCUGAAAUCAGUUUCUGUUGAUCAUAAUAUAAUGGACUCUCUGAUUUGGUUAGCAAGCAAAGAGAACAAAUUUUCAGUCAAGAGUUGCUACAUACUGUUGAUAAAGCAGUCAGGACAAUGGAAGCUUCUCGGCCAUUGAACAUGAUAUGGAAGGCAAAAGGCAAAAGCUCCUGUUAAGAAAAGUUUUGUCCAAUGCAACAAAUACUAUCUGUGUCAAGAAGAUCAGGAGUCAGUUGAGCACCUAUUUCUUCACUGCAGAUUUGCCAGACAAUGCUGGGGUUUAUUUCUUUUAUUAGAGGUAUUACUUGGGUGAUGCCUCACAGUUUAAAGGGGUUAAUGGGAAGUUGGCAGCAGCUGUUGGUUCCUAAAAAGAGAAAGCAGAUAUGGAGGAUUGUUCCAUUCUGCAUCUAUUGGACAAUUUGGUUGGAGAGGAACAAGGCUUCUUUUGAAGGGAAAAGAAUUUUGAUCUCUAGAACUAAAAAUAGAUGCUUAUAAAAUUUGUACUUGUGGUGUAAAAGUAGCCCACUAUUGAGUUUAAAUCAGCAUAUGGAUUUCUUAGAUCUGUUAGGAAAGAGAAUAUAUUGUCUGCCUGCUCCGUGCUUUGUAUUUCUGCUCCUUUCUAUACCAUCUUGGUACUCUUUAACAUAA